rnacentral:rRNA from 1 species
UUUCAACAACGGAUCUCUUGGUUCUGGCAUCGAUGAAGAACGCAGCGAAAUGCGAUAAGUAAUGUGAAUUGCAGAAUUCAGUGAAUCAUCGAAUCUUUGAACGCACAUUGCGCCCU